GCCAAAUCAGAUACUGAAGUGAUACAUCUGUUCUUAAAAUCCAGGGAUGAUCCUGCAAAGUAGCCCUCUCCUGAUUAGUGCUUGUCAAUGUAGCAUUAACCCCAACUCCUACCCUGACCCUCCAAUUAAAGCUUGAUUAUAAAGGGGACCUGCAGCUCAUUGUUCAGUCUCUCCUGGCUUUUCGGGUUUCAUCUUAGUUGCAGACAGCAGGGGUGGAAAAUGGAUUUCAUGUGUUCAGCCUAAAUGUGAGCGGCUCCUUCUUUUUUAUGAUCUGAUCCUGGUGUUGGUGGACCAGAUUUCUUUCUCUUGUUGACUGUUUUUGGUUGUCCAGUGCCUACUGGUUAUGAGUAGGGUCACAGCAUCAAGGUUGUAGUUUGGGAUUCCAGUAGGGUGGACCUCAGAUAACAUGUUUUCUCCUUUUUAUAGAUCUCCCUUGCUGCUGGCUUCUUUAGGUCUUUUCUUUAAUUCGACCUUUUUUGUUUUGUUUUUUUCUUUUUAGUAAGGAGAGGAAACUCUUGUUGGGAGCCUGGGGACAUUUGUUGAGGUCCCCUUCCCACACUUGUGCCCCAGUGCCUGUACUUAAUUGCAUGAGUAUAAUGGACACUACUUUAGUUUGCAGUGACAGUUGCAGUCAGACAGUCAGUUGGGCUGCUAUUUUACCACUGUGAUUGUGCAUGUCUUCUGUUAGAAAUAUAUAUAUAUUAUAUUACAGUAAUAUUUUUACUAAAGUAUACUGUUUUUGCCUGUUUAACUUUCUUGCAUUGCAGUCUUGUUUUUGACUUACUGAUUUAUUACUGCCUUAUUGAAAUUAACUUGCCACAGCUGCGCCUUGUCAGUAAAUAAUUUGUGUGCUUUACAAUUAAGGUUAAUUAGUGUAAUAUUUCCUGGGGUGUAAUUUCCUAGGUGUCAUAUACAGUGUUUAAUAACUUUAUUAGGCCACCGCCCAAUGCAAGGUUUGUGCCAGUAUUGGUAAUUAUUAAAAUAAUUAUCUCUACCGAGGAGGAUAUGUUUGUGGUAGCAUGUGAUUGCGUGUCGUUCUGCCUGUAAGCACGAAA
ensembl:lncRNA